UACGUAGGGUGCGAGCGUUAAUCGGAAUUACUGGGCGUAAAGCGUGCGCAGGCGGUUCGUUGUGUCGGCGGUGAAAGCCCCGGGCUCAACCUGGGAAUGGCCGUUGAAACUGGCGAACUGGAGUGUGGCAGAGGGGGGUGGAAUUCCGCGUGUAGCAGUGAAAUGCGUAGAGAUGCGGAGGAACACCGAUGGCGAAGGCCGCCCCCCUGGGCUGACACUGACGCUCAGGCACGAAAGCGUGGGGAGCAAACAGG
rnacentral:rRNA from 1 species